rnacentral:rRNA from 1 species
GCGGACGGGUGAGUAAUACAUAGGUAAUCUACCUUCGAGCUUGGGAUAACCCGCGAAAGUGGGGCUAAUACCGGAUAAGACCACGUAACCAUGUUGCGGGGUAAAAGGUGGCUUAUUUUUUAAAUGAGCUAUCACUUGAGGAUGAGCCUGUGGCCUAUCAGCUUGUUGGCGGGGUAAAAGCCCGCCAAGGCUAUGACGGGUAGCUGGUCUGAGAGGACGACCAGCCACACUGGGACUGAGACACGGCCCAGACUCCUACGGGAGGCAGCAGUGGGGAAUAUUGGGCAAUGGGCGAAAGCCUGACCCAGCGACGCCGCGUGGGCGAUGAAGGCCUUCGGGUUGUAAAGCCCUGUCAUGCGGAAAGAACGACCCUGUGACGCAUACUCACAGGGAGUGACGGUACCGCAGGAGGAAGCACCGGCUAACUCCGUGCCAGCAGCCGCGGUAAUACGGAGGGUGCAAGCGUUGUUCGGAAUUAUUGGGCGUAAAGGGCGCGUAGGCGGUAAUGUAAGUCAGAUGUGAAAUACUUCGGCUCAACUGAAG